UGUUUCUUCAUUUUUAAGUAGUUAACCAAUCAAUGACCAGUAUUUGUUAAAUCUUUCAUGUACGCACCAAAAAUUCUACCAAUUUCACUCCAUCAGUUAAGUCUACCUUAUUACUCAUCUACUUAUUCAUUCAACUAACAGAUAUUGACCACCUGCUAUAUGCAAGGCACUGAAGAAACAAGAGCAAGAUGAAAUCUCAGCUUUCACAAUAUGGUCUUAUAUUCUGACAGUGGAAUGCUGUGGAUAUUAAAUGCAAUAAUAUUUUUACCUAUUGCUAUUUGCAUUUCUGCCAGUUUUCCUUUUAUAUUGUUUAGGGCUCUGACUCAGUUAUUAUUGUUUAAUGAUUACUGCAUCGAUGAUAGCUUCUGCAUCAAUGCUUUUUUUUCAAUGAAUUUCCCCCCUGAAUUUGAAGAGUAUACUUAUCUAUAUCUAUAUGAAGGAAAAUGAAUUCUAAUUAUUCCUUUAAAGUCAAUAAUUUCAUUUUUACUUUCUUCUUACAAACAACAGGAUGAAUUUUGUUUUUUAUUAAUCAGUUUUUUUCCUAAGGUAAACCAAGUUAAGUAACAGUUUGUGUUAAGUUACCUAUAUGUUCACUUUCCUCACUGUUGUCUUCAUCUUGAUUUUUUUCCUUUUGGCACUAAACUCAUAUCCAUUUUCCAUUACUGGUUUUUCCUCACAUUAUAUUUUAUUACUUCCUUGCUUUAGGAUAUGUGGUCAACUUUGGCAACCCAUUUUAGGUUUCUUAUGCUCAUCCUAUUACGUACUAGUUAAGCUCAUGUUCUUACUUUAACCUUUCAUCACUUUAGAAAGCUUUUGGUUGCUUCAUUUAGCAGUGAAUUGCAGCAAAGUACUGCAGGAAGCCCUGAAAGGAUCCAAUUUAAGAAGUUUGGGCCCUGAGCACAGUAGGCACUCAAAAAACAUGUAUUUCAAGGAAAGAAAUGGACUUUCUAAAGUAAAACAUCACAGAGUACCCUUAAGUUAUAAAACUAGGAGGCAGGU